rnacentral:tRNA from 1 species
GAAAGGCUCAGGUCGGUAGGAGCCUCAGGCUUUUAAUCUGAGGGGCCCAGGGUUCAAGUCCCUGUUC